UCCAUAUCGCCCGGCAGAAAGCGGCGGCGCCGGCGAGGAAAGCGCCGCCGGUGGUGAGACCCUCCUCACUACCAACCCCCCUCUCUUACGGCCGCUGCCCAUCUGGGUUCCUUGAAUUCUCUUUCACUUUGUACGUGAUUGACAGUGAUGGAUCCACAGAGAAUAUGACCGUCAUGGUUUGAAGGACGAAGGUGCCUGGGGGACAGCUCUGGGAAGGAGGGAAGGAGGGAAGGUUCUCUUCAAUGAUACCUGCUGCAGAUAUUAUGGGUUCUUGCCAAGUCCAGAACAGUUUUAUGGCGGGUUUAUCCACCUUAAUGUCAUGAGCAUUCUGCUUGGAGAUCCCUCUUAUCUUUAGAUUAAAGCAUGCC
rnacentral:lncRNA from 1 species